GACGAACCGUGCGAACGUUGUUCGGAAUCACUGGGCUUAAAGGGCGCGUAGGCGGCUUGCCAAGUCAGUGGUGAAAUCCCACAGCUUAACUGUGGAAGUGCCUUUGAUACUGGCGAGCUCGAGGGAGGUAGGGGUAUGUGGAACUUCUGGUGGAGCGGCGAAAUGCGUUGAUAUCAGAAGGAACGCCGGUGGCGAAAGCGACGUACUGGACCUCUUCUGACGCUGAGGCGCGAAAGCUAGGGGAGCAAACGGG
rnacentral:rRNA from 1 species